UUUGCAGGCAUUCUCAUAAUGACUAUUUUUACAAACCCACAUGCUACAAGGUUCCACUUUCAUAUGCAAGAACUAUUACUCCCUCACUAUCUUGACUCGUAUGUCUGAUCAUAUCUUCCGUAAUAGCCAUGCCCGCAAGAACCAUCAAGCAUUAAUAAAUUAAGAAAAUAACAGUCUCACAACAAGAUGCAUAAAAGGAUUAUAAACUAUUUGGAUAGCAAGGCUACUCAAACACACCUCAACUUACCGAUGUAUUCUGCAGGAUAGUAAAUGAUGCCUACAACAAACAGAACAUUGUGAUUAAUAGUGGUGGUAAAAACAAUUGCCGAAACAUCCCUAACUAAUUAAGCAACUAUGAUUAUAUACUGGUUCUUCAGGCCUGAGAAAUUAGUCAUAAUUCUUGGCUAGAGAAUAAAUCUGAUUAUAACAAAAAAAAUGUGUAGAUUUCUCAUGUGGUGCGGAGUGGACUGUUCAGCAAAAAAUAACAGACAAGCUCAGAUCAUUUGAGGUAUUCAAUGGAAAUUAUGAAAUACGUAUUGGUAGGAAGCAUGAGUUACAUGAAGCCCACAUAUCUUGAUGCUUGUGGCGAUAGCUACUUUUUUCUCCUUGGCCAUUUGUUCCGCUGAGCCCCUCCU
rnacentral:lncRNA from 1 species